rnacentral:tRNA from 10 species
GCGCCACUAGCUCAGCUGGAUAGAGCAACCGCCUUCUAAGCGGUAGGUCACAGGUUCGAAUCCUGUGUGGCGUGCCA